UGCGAGAGAGUUGCGGCACCUAGGGUUUCUGGAAGCUAUUUAGGGUUAUCAGUGUUUGGGCUUAUUGGGCCUGGUGUAAUUGGGUUUAAUUUUAGUGAGUUUGGGUUUUAAUUGGGUUUGGUAUAAUUUUGGGCCUUGAAUUUUUUGGUUUGUAACUGGACAUUUUUGGACAUUUAAUUUUUUUGGUUUUUAUUAUUUAUAAUUAUAUUUUUUAUUUUGUUUAUUUAUUUGAUUUGGGCCGGGCAGAAUUAGGGUAUUACAGCUGCCCCUCUUUGCUCAUUGUCGUGUAACGGGAAUGAAGCAAAGACUAAAAAAUGACCAAUUUUGCCCGGUCGAGUUGGACCUUGGUGCUCUUCUUCUCCGAGUUGCCACACUCCAUCCUACUCCAUCUUCAGAGGUAUAGGAAUUGGUGCUUCGAUCCACUCCAC
rnacentral:lncRNA from 1 species